rnacentral:sRNA from 1 species
CGUUAAAUAAAUAGGCUACCGUAGACAGUAGGAACCCAAUGGGUUUAAAAAUCUCCUACCGAGGUGAGAGUGGAAACUAAUCAUAUUAUAUAGAGAUUAGGGUCUCUCCGUGUCUGCGGAGAGACCUUUAUUUGUUUAGCC